UCUGUCUGUCUGUCUGUCUGUCUGUCUGUCUGUCUGUCUGUCUCUCUCUAGCGGUUGGUUUAUACGUGAAGAGCAGUGAACCGCUGAACGUCGUUGCUAACCUAGUGAACGGUAACCGUGGCGCCGGUGUUGCCGUGCUACAGAGCGGUCAGCUGACUCGACUAGUUGCUAACUGCGUCCAUGGAAACGGUCGCGGUGGCGUCACCGUGGAGAGGGAGUGUCGGGUGGAACUCCGUGGCAACGGCGUGUAUGACAACUGCGGCCAUGGCGUUAGUUUCCGGGGCGAUGGACAGGUGGUGGAGAACGACGUGGUGGGUAACCGUGGUUACGGGAUACGGUUGUCGGACAGCGCCGACGUCAAGGUGUUGCGUAAUCGAGUCCAGCCGGUGCAGGGGUGUGGCAUCGCCGUGCUGGGGCCGGCAAAGGCCGUCGUCCACGACAACCUGGUGUUCCAGGGUCACCCCGGCAACGUCAAACCCCCGCUACACCG